ensembl:lncRNA
GCCCCUGCAGCAGGCCACUGCUGACCCGUACCUCCACAGGAGACACUCAGAUACAGUUCUGGUUCAGUCUCUGUGGGUUGGGUGUGUGUUUUUUGCCCUUCCCAGGUCAGAGCAGCUCAGGCAACCAAGUGCUUGGUGAGUGCACUGCCCCAGGUGGGCCGUGCAUCUUAGUCACCUCCCUCGUCCCGACCACUCGGUUUCCCGGGUGCGUUGCGAGAGCACCAUCUCAGGCGUGCCAUAGGUCUCCUCUGGAGAGCUGAUCUCAGGCUGCGACCCUCCUGGCAGAUGUCAACCAUCCAGGAUCUCAGGAAGACAAGGGUGGCUCACCAAGACCCAUUCAGCUGCACCAGAAUCUCCUCUCUGGAACUGCCACAUCUAUUCACUGGGGCCACCGUGACCUGCUUCUUGGAAGAAAAGCUAUGACAAGCCCAGACAGUGUAUUAAAAAGCAGAGACAUCACUUUGCCAACAAAGGUCUGUACAGUCAAAGCUAUGGCUUUUCCAGUAGUAAUGGACAGACGUGAGAGUUGGACCAUAAAGAAAACUGAG